AUACUCACUCCUCCUUCUAUGGAGGCAUCAAGAACAAGAACAAGAACAAUGGGGGUUUUCUCUAUUCUUCUCUUCCUCCUCUUUCUAUGGAGGUUUCAAUCUCCUCUCAUCUCCUUCUUCCCUAUCUUUCAAUCUACCCACGAACCCCAACACAAUUGUAUACGGAAUCCUCACUAAAUUCAACCUUCCUCAAGGGCUUUUACCGAUGAUGGAACAUUUGAAGUUUUACUGGUUAUGUAGAGUUCGAAUAUUUGGUUUAUUACGCUGAGAAGGUAACUGAGUCUUGGGUCGAUUACUGACUUAGAAGGAAUUGAAGUUAAGAGAUUCUUGGUGUGGUUAAAUGUGAAUGAGAUCCUUGAAGCUAAGUUUCAUUAACAAGAAGCUUGAUAUCAAACGGUUUGAAACUCUUCAUUCUUGUUUGGCCUUGUGUGGAGGAACAUCUCUGAGACAGACUCCCACUAUGCAAAAGUAUCCAAGUGAUAGAAGUAUGAAGUAUGGUGUAUCUACUAAGAUGACACAUUUUCAUGAGCAGGAUUAUGCAUGGAUUAGACGCAGGGUGCUAUUUCCAUUUAUGGAACAUGUAGACAGGUUUGUGAUAGGGGCAGACUGACUUGAACGACAGCUCUUCUGCUGAUCUUCGCUCUGCCACAGAAGAGGCGUUUCUUGCUGAAAAUGGUGUUGUUGAUAUGUUGAUGGUUGAAAUAAAUGCAGCAGUUGGUAAUCUAAACCAUCUCCGGUCUCUUCCCCAAGGAGUAUUCGAGGCCUGUGAUUCAAAUCAGGACCAAGAGUGUGACUCUCCAAGCCAGGCACGUUUCUGUUGAGUAAAUUGUUCUGUAUUGUUCCCAUAGCAAGAUAAUGAGAAAUUGUUUUCUCCAGAUUCUAAUAUUUACUCAUGGACUCUUGGUUUACUCAUUGUUUCUUGUCUUGUCUCUCUGACUGGAUUUGACAGAGCUACAAUUCUACUGCUCAAACUUCUUUGCCACAAAAGAUAAAUAAGAAAUAGGAGAAUUUGUUAUCUGGAUGCUUCCUCCUUUUUUAGGUUUUACUCAUCGUUUUAAUUUUACUUUUUUAAUUCACAACUUGCCUCAACACAAUGCCAAUUUUCUGUGAAAUUUAUUGAGAAGAAAGGACAAGUAGCGACACAGGCUGUUUCCCUUAGCUAAUGUUAACCAAGGAUAAAAAUGAUGGUAGCCUUCUCAGAGAAUUACUUUCUAUCUAAUUGGAAGAAUCCAUUACUCAACAACAUUAUUAAGAAGGUUGGCAAAAUUCAUUCAAGCUAAUUUUGUCUCAAAUGAUGUUUUGGGAUACUGUUGCUUGAAAUUUUGGGUAAUUGUGGACAGUUAAUAGGUGAGCACUUCUAUUAAUAUUAGAUAUGAAAAUCUCUACAACAGGUCAUCAUACAGUCCUUGAAUGUCAGUUGUUGGUGCCUUUAUUCACCCGUAAAAGAAGCUGGUUGUUAUACUGAUGAAGUUACUGUCUUAACUCUUAAGCAUAUUAUUUUCUAAUGACCUAUCUGAAGAGAUUACGGGAAAAUGCACAGGAUUUAAUUGUUUUUCUUGAUAAGUUAAAUGGUAGGACCCUGAGUCAGGGGGGUGAGAGUAUUUACUUUCAAGUUGGGUUUAUUAACAAAAAGCUUGAUAUCAAACCAUUUGAAACUCCUCGUUCUUGCCAGAACAAUGCUUUGGCCUUGUGUGGAGGACCAUAUUUGAGACAGGCUUGGGGCUGAAUCUGAACAAUGAAGAACAAGAUAAACCUGUCUGGUCCCCUACUACGGCGGGCAAUUUCACUGUGACAUAGGCAUGGAAUAUUUGUAGGCACAAGGGUAUUGACAGCACAGAUUUUAACAAAAUAUGGCAUAAAGACAUCCCUUUCAAAAUGUCCUUCUUAACUUGGAGAGCCAUUAUUAACAGACUUCCUACAGAUGCCAAGAUUGCAAGGCUUGGUAUCCCUUUAUCUCCCACUUUCUAUUGUUGCACUAACAAUAAUAUUCCUACCACUCUGGAAAGUGCAGAACAUAUUUUCUAUGCAGGUGAACACGCAAAGAAGAUUUGGAGACUAUAUGCAACGCCCAUUGGGAUAGAGUACACCAACAUUAAUUUGAAGAACCUACUAAAAAAUGGUGGACUAAGAAAGUCCUCAAUCCGGUGGCAUCAUACAUCACAAGAGGGUUGCCCAUGUUUAUCUGUUGGGAGUUAUGGAGGAGCAGAUGCAAUCAUAAAUAUGAAACAAUUAAGCCCUCUGUGUAUAGAUCAAAAAGAAACAUUACUAACAUUUUGUUUUUCACUUUGCAGUCAAAUUUUGACAGGAUUAAAGUUGAGAACUCUUGGGAGAACAUUAACCAAAUAUUUGACGUCUCUAUUAAUCAUAAAAAUGCCAUAAGAGUGAAUUGGAUCAGACUACCAACUAUGUUUGCUAAACUUAAUACUAAUGGAUCUUGUGUUAAUGGCAGGUGUGGUGGAGGUGGAAUUCUGAGGAACGCCUUGGGACAAGUCAUCAUGGCCUUCACUAUAAAUCUUGGAGAAGGAACCAGCAGUUGGGCUGAAGCCAUGUCCAUGCUACACGGAAUGCAACUAUGCAUACAAAGAGGAGUAAAUAUGAUCAUCGGAGAAACAGACUCCAUUCUACUUGCUAAAGCUAUCACUAAAAGUUGGAGUAUCCCUUGGAGAAUGUACAUCCCAGUUAAGAAGAUUCAAAAGAUAGUUGAAGAGCAUGGUUUCACCAUCAAUCACUGCCUUAGAGAGGCAAAUCAACCUGCGAACAAACUUGCUUCAAUUAGCCUCUCAACUGAUGUUAACCAAGUCUUCAACUCUUAUACUAAUCUUCCUAGUCUUGUUAAGGGCCUUGUAAAUUUGGAUAGAAUGAAUUUGCCCACCUUCAGAUCAAAAAGAACAAAGGAUGCCAACCUUAUUUUUGAACCUCCUUAGAUUAGUAGCCAGUGACUUCCACUGGCCUUUGUACAGCCUUAUUUUUUACUAAGUGCUCAUUAAGCAUCGAAGGUACAAGUUUGGUAUGACAAACUUCAAAGUGUGUAUCCUUAUCUCAUCAAUGAAAGGCCAGCUUUUG